rnacentral:lncRNA from 1 species
GUUUAGCCCACAUUGAGCUCCACAUUUUAUAGGCAUGUAUGGUUGUCUAAUUAACUGUUUAGGUUCAAAUAAUUAUUACAAAAGUCCCUGACGGGAUAUCUUGUCCAAUUUAAAAGUCUACCGGAAUGUUUUUUCAUUGAAAAUGUUGUUGAAUUUAAAGCACCACCAAAAAUGAACUAAGCACCAGAGGAGGAACUCAGGAAGCUUCUGUCUGUCUUAAGGUCUUACAUCCAGGCUUGGGGUCCAAACUUGUGAAGCUUGUCCAUUCCAGAGGCCAAUUCUGGUAUAUCAUUAAAAAAAAUCAUAUCAGCACCAUCAAAAAAAACCUCACCAUUACAGAUGAUAGCUUAAAUUCCACCACAAUGUCCAAUAAACAGGAAGAUGGGUCUACAAAACUCUUUUGGGGUCUAUGAUUGGUUUGUUAAGGCUCAUUAAGUCCACAGCCACAAAUGGUCCAAUCUUCACAAGUACUGGGGUCUACUUGGUGUAUAUAUUCAUUAAGAAAAAUAUAAGCACCACCGAAAAAAAACUUAGCACCACAGGAGGUAGCUUCCCUCCAAUUGGUCCAACCAAUGUAUAGGGUCCAAAGCACUCUAUUGGGUCUAAGUUGGUUUUUAUGCUCAUUAGUCCACAAGGCACAUAUGGUAAAAUCUACACAAGUCCUGGGGUCUGUUGGUGUAUAUAUCAUUUAAGAAAAAUAUAAGCACCACAGAAAAAAAACUUAGCACCACGGGAGGUAGCUUUCCCUCCAAUUGGUCCAACUGACAUGUAUAGGGGUCUAAAGCACUCUAUUGGGGUCUAAGAUGGUUUGUUAAGCUCAUUAGUCCACAGGCACAUAUGGUCAAAUCUACACAAGUCCUGGGGUCUGUUUGGUGUAUAUAUCAUUUAAGAAAAAUAUAAGCACCACAGAAAAAAAACUUAGCACCACGGGAGGUAGCUUCCCUCCAAUUGGUCCAACUGACGUGUAUAUAGGGGUCUAAAGCACUCUAUUGGGGUCUAAGAUUGGUUUGUUAUGCUCAUUAGUCCACAGGCACAUAUGGUCAAAUCUACACAAGUCCUGGGUCUGUUGGUGUAUAUAUCAUUUAAGAAAAAUAUAAGCACCACAGAAAAAAAACUUAGCACCACGGGAGGUAGCUUCCCUCCAAUUGGUCCAACUGACGUGUAUAGGGGUCUAAAGCACUCUAUUGGGGUCUAAGAUGGUUUGUUAUGCUCAUUAGUCCACAGGCACAUAUGGUCCAAUCUACACAAGUCCUGGGGUCUUUUGGUGUAUAUAUCAUUUAAGAAAAAUAUAAGCACCACAGAAAAAAAAACUUAGCACCACGGGAGGUAGCUUCCCUCCAAUUGGUCCAACUGACAUGUAUAGGGGUCUAAAGCACUCUAUUGGGGUCUAAGAUGGUUUGUUAAGCUCAUUAGUCCACAGGCACAUAUGGUCAAAUCUACACAAGUCCUGGGGUCUUUGGUGUAUAUAUCAUUUAAGAAAAAUAUAAGCACCACAGAAAAAAAACUUAGCACCACGGGAGGUAGCUUUCCCUCCAAUUGGUCCAACUGACAUGUAUAGGGGUCUAAAGCACUCUAUUGGGGUCUAAGAUGGUUUGUUAAGCUCAUUAGUCCACAGGCACAUAUGGUCCAAUCUACACAAGUCCUGGGGUCUUUUGGUGUAUAUAUCAUUUAAGAAAAAUAUAAGCACCACAGAAAAAAAACUUAGCACCACGGGAGGUAGCUUCCCUCCAAUUGGUCCAACUGACGUGUAUAGGGGUCUAAAGCACUCUAUUGGGGUCUAAGAUGGUUUGUUAAGCUCAUUAGUCCACAGGCACAUAUGGUCCAAUCUACACAAGUCCUGGGUCUUUUGGUGUAAGUAUAUCAUUUAAGAAAAAUAUAUGCACCACAGAAAAAAACAUUAGCACCACGGGAGGUAGCUUCCCUCCAAUUGGUCCAACUGAACGUGUAUAGGGGUCUAAAGCACUCUAUUGGGGUCUAAGUUGGUUUGUUAAGCUCAUUAGUCCACAGGCACAUAUGGUCCAAUCUACACAAGUCCUGGGGUCUUUUGGUGUAUAUAUCUAUUAAGAAAAAUAUAAGCACCACAGAAAAAAAACUUAGCACCACGGGAGGUAGCUUUCCCUCCAAUUGGUCCAACUGACUUGUAUAGGGGUCUAAAGCACUCUAUUGGGGUCAUAGAUGGUUUGUUAAGCUCAUUAGUCCACAGGCACAUACAAUCCAUACUACACAAGUCCUGGGGUCUUUUGAUGUAUAUAUUUUAAGAAAAAUAUAAGCACCACGGAAAAAUGGAACUUGGUUCAACAAACGGGUAAAAGAUUUAUAAUGCUCUUUGGUGUUCUAAGUUGGUUUGUAAGGCUCAUUGGUCCACAGGCAACUUUGAUCCACUCUUCAAGUCAAGGGUUCUUUUAUAUUAUAUUUUAUUUGAUAAAAAUAUAAGCACCACCAAAAACAAACUUUGCAUCUCAAGAGGUAGCUUCCCUCCCAAUGGUCCAAAGGAUGGUAGUGGGUCUAAAAUAGUCUUUGGGGUUCUUAGUUGGUUUGUAAGGCCUGUCUAAAAUCAACUGUGGUCCAAUCUACAUUAGGCUAGGGGUCUCUGGGUAUAUUUCACUGAAGAAAAAUAUAAGCACCACCAAAAAGAAAUGUAGCACCACAGGAGGUUACUUCCCUCCAUUUGGUCCAACAGAUGGGUAUAGGGGUCUAAAUACUCUUAGGGGUACUAAGUUGGUUUGUAAGGCUCAUUGGUCAACAGGCAACUGUGGUCUAAUCUUUAAGUUAAGGGUUCUCAUAGGGUAUAUUUCAUUAAAGAAAAAUAUAUAACUACCAAGAAAAACAAACUAAGCACCAUGGGAGGUAGCUUUCCUCUCAGUUGGCCCAACAGACAGAUUUAGGGGUCUAACACAUUCUUUUGGGCUUAAGAUGAUUUGAAAAGACCAUGUGGGGCAAUCUUCUAGUCCAGAGGUCUGUUGUGGUAUAUUUCAUUAAAGAAAUAUGAUAAGCACCACCAAAAAUUAACUUAGCACCACGGAUGAUUGCUUCCAUCCCCUUGAUCCAAUAAACAGGUAUAGGGAUGUAAAAAAACACUUUGAGAGGUCUAUGUUCAUUUAUAUGGCCCACUGUCUGUGUCCAAUCUACGAGUCCAGGAGUUUUAUGAUAUAUUUCAUUAAAGAAAAACUUGAUUUUGUUUUACAGGGCCAUUUGGUCUACAUGUAUGCACAAAAUGUUACUGACAGGUCUGUAUCCUUAAAGCUGUGUAAAUGCAAACAAAUGUUUGUGAGGAGAUUUUAAAGCCAGAAAAAUUGUAUUUCUUAUGAUAAUUCUCCAUUGCUCUUCCUGUCUUCAAGGCAAAAACCUCUAAAGGAGCACAUGAAAUAGUAUGAAAUAAGCACCUUAAAACAUGAAGUAACUUUGUAAAAAAGAAGAAAAAAAACAAAUAUGAUAUUCAGCAAUGAUAACAGGCUGCUGACUUAGAACAGUCACAUAUAGAAAAACAUAAAUAACUUGACAUGUUCAUUAUGGUGUGAUAUUUAAAAUCACUAUGAUAAAUUAUUGAUUCUUAAUUGUACAUCAUUCUUAUGAAACUGUGUGUCUAACUAUAUAUCUAAAUCUUGUUUUUCUUUCUGCAGAUUAUUCAAAUUGACGUCAAAAGUGUUCAGAUAUCAGAUGUACUACAGCUAAAGAAUGAAAUUAAUUGUGGUCAUUUCACAGCUUUUGCCUACAGUCAGCUUUUUAUGGUAGGAUAAUAUGCACGUCUUAAGUAUUAAUAGUGUAUACAAAUGUAAAAUAAAAUAAAUCAAUGUAUACACACCUUUUAUCAAUUAAUAAUUUGUUCAUUCAUUUUCACCAUAUUUUGAUAAAUUACAUUGCACAUAAUCUUAAAUAAAUUAUCACAUAUUAAAGUAAACAAUAAGUAUAUCCAAUUGGACAAAUAUAAGUUUCAAGUAGACAAUUAUUCUAUAAUAUUACAAAAGUGGCAGAUGACCUGUAGUUGUUAAUUUCUGUAUCAUUUGGUCUCUUGUAAAGAGUUGUCUCAUAGGCAAAUACAUUUACAAUCUGUUAGGGAGCUGAUUUUACUGAUUCAGACAAUUUAUUUCAUUCUAUCUUGAUUGAUUAUUAUGUAGCACUAAACAAUUGUCACAAGCAAACAUGUAUUUGAAUUUCAAGUUAUUAUUUAAAUAAAAUUGAGGCUUUAUUAUUUCAGUGAAUUAAAGAAUGAAGAGAAAUCAACUUAUUUAUACCCAAGCUGACCAACUGUCAAGAAAGA